rnacentral:tRNA from 1 species
GGAGAGAUGGCCGAGUUGGUCUAAGGCGCACGACUGGAAAUCGUGUAAACCCUAACCGGUUUCAUGGGUUCGAAUCCCAUUCUCUCCGCCA